rnacentral:rRNA from 1 species
UACGUAGGGCGCAAGCGUUAUCCGGAAUUAUUGGGCGUAAAGAGCUCGUAGGCGGUUUGUCGCGUCUGCCGUGAAAGUCCGGGGCUCAACUCCGGAUCUGCGGUGGGUACGGGCAGACUAGAGUGAUGUAGGGGAGACUGGAAUUCCUGGUGUAGCGGUGAAAUGCGCAGAUAUCAGGAGGAACACCGACGGCGAAGGCAGGUCUCUGGGCAAUAACUGACGCUGAGGAGCGAAAGCGUGGGGAGCGAACAGG